GACGUCGGCACGAAGCCGGGCGCUCGGGGCGUCGCGUCCGGUGGUAGUUGGGGACAGCUGUCGUUCGCCGCGGGUCUGGGGUUCCUCUCAUCUUCCGGCAUUGGCGUGUCCCGGCUCUUCGCCGUAAGUGUUCCCUCUGAGCUACGAAUUGUGCGAAUCAAGCUGAUAGAAUCAAGCCGAUUCGUCUAAAAGGUCUUUUUUUCCUGAAGGGAUUUUCGGUUUUCCUGAGGGGAGCUUAUACGAAUAAGGAAGCUGCUGCCUGGACGCGGGCGGGCUCUGAGCGACCGGUAUAGUGAUGCUGGCCCUCUUCCUCGGUUGUGUGCGGGGCGGGGGUCGUCCGCGGAUCGGGGCCUGGGUGCUGUCAGCGGCGGGUCAGCGCUCCCCUCCUGCAGAGCCCGAGGCCACCGUGUGCUGUCGUCUUGUGUUUGUUGCAUGUCUGAGGUGACACCGGCCCGGACACUGGGUUCAGCGACCCGUUACGUAAAGAUCGCGAGUGGCUUUUUUUGUGGUCAGGAUCGGAUGAUCCUACACUCCGAUCCGAUCGGAUCACUACACUGGAGAGGCCGGUUUUUGUGAUGACAGACUGGGCGCCUCCCAACUCAGGAGCAGUCCACCGCCCUGGAGAUCUGCCCGCGAAACAGCUGGCCCGGGGCCAGGUCGUCCCUGGCUAACGGUGCCCCCAAGCAGCUCAAAAGUCUGUAUAGUGACUCAUCUCUAUUUCAAAGACCCUAAAAGCGCCUGAUGUUCUCCAAAGCUGUCUUUGAGGUUUUUACUCAUAUUCCAGGGAGAGGUACAAUCCCGGCCCAUGCUGGACGGGUCCACACCCUACUACAAGGGCAGUUACCUGUGCAGACGGCCCAGGAAGCAUCCAAAGGUCACCUUUGGCUUAAUCUGUUUAUUUUUUUUAAAGUGAUCACCACUGAAUUUUUUGUUGUUGUUCUUUUGAAGAUUUAUUUGUUUAUUUGAAAGAGAGAAUUCUUCUAUCUGCUGGUUCACUCCCCAGAUGGCUGCCAUGGCCAGGGUUGGGUCAAGCCAAAGCCAGCAGCUUCCUCCGGGUCUCCCACGUGGCUGGCAGGGGCUCAAGGGCUUGGGCCAUCUUCCACUGCUUUCUCCAGGCCAUUAGCAGGGAGAUGGAUCGGAAGUGGAACAACCAGGACAAGAACCAGUGUCCAUAUGGGAUGCUGGCGUCGCAGGUAGCAGCUAUACACUCUGUGCCACAAUGCUGGCCCCUCCUUUUAUUUCUGAUAAAGAUUUAUUUGAAAGGCAGAGUGAGAGAAAGAGAGAGCUCUUUCAUGUGCUGGUUCACUCCCCAGAUGGCAACAAGGGUUGGAGCAGAGCCAGGCGGCAGCCUGGAGCCUGGAACUCCAUCCAGGGUUUCCACAAGGGUGGCAGAAGCCCAAGCAUUGGGCCUUUUUCCUCUUUCCCAGGUGCUCUAGAGGGGAGCACUCUGAUAUGGGAUGCAGGCUGCAGCCUAGCUUGCUACUCCACAACACUGGCUCCAGUGCUUCAUUUUAAUUCUAAGAUAGGUGACACUUCAUUUUCAUAUGCAGAUAUGUGACACUGGCAUUUCAUAUGAACCCUGGUUUGGGGCCCAGCUGUUCGACUUCCAAUCCAGCUCCUUGAUAAUCUGCCUGGAAAAGCAGCAGCAGAUGGCCUGGGUACUUGACCCCCUGCCACCCACGUGGGAGAUCCAGAUGUAAUUCCAGGCUCCUGGCUUUGACCUGACCCCGGCUGUUUUGGCUAUUUGAGUAGUGAACCAGCAGAUGGAAGAUCUUUCUGUCUCUCUCUCUCUCUCUAACUCUUUAACUCUACCUUUCGUAUAAAUAAAUCUUUUUAAAAAUUACGAAGGUAUCUGCUCCAGGAGGAGCUAAAGCCUUUUUUUUUUUUUUUAAGAUUUAUUUAUUUAUUUGAAAGGCAGAGUUGCAGAGAGGCAGAGGCAGAGAGAGAGAGAGGUCGUCCAUCUGAUGGUGCACUUCCCAGAUGGCUGCAACAGCUGGAACCGGGCCAAUCCGAAGCCAGGAGCAGGUGCAGGGGCCCAAGCACUUGGGCUAUCUUCUACUGCUUUCCCAGGCCACAGCAGAGAGCUGGAUCGGAAGUAGAGCAGCCAGGACUUGAACCAGCGCCCAUAUGGGAUGCUGGCGCUGCAGGCAACGGCUCUACUCGCUACACCACAGCGCUGGCGCCUUAAGCCUUCUUACCAUCACGUGUAACCUGUGUGAGAACGUGUUUUUUUUUUUUUUUUUUUUUUUUUUUUUUUUUUUUUUUACAGGCAGAGUUAGACAGAGACAGAGAGAAAGGCCUUCUUUCCCUUGGUUCACCCCCCAAAUGGCCGCCAUGGCCAGCGCGCUGCGCCUAUCUGAAGCCAGGAGCCAGGUGCUUCCUCCUGGUCUCCUAUGCAGGUGCCGGGCCCAAGCACUUGGGCCAUCCUCCACUGCACUCUGGGGCCACAGCAGAGAGCUGGACUGGAAGAGGAGCAACCGGGGUGCUGGCGCCACAGGCGGAGGAUUAGCCUAGUGAGCCACGGCGCUGGCCAGGAACAUGUUCUAAACUGGGCCAGCACGAGCUUGUGCCUGCCCUUACAUGUGAUGGCGGGAACUUUCCCUCUGAUAGAUUGAUUUCCCCUAAAAAGAAAAGAUGCACAUUUACCCCUGCUCUUGGAGUCAGGGCUUUGGGAAUGAAUCCUUGUGCUCUCUUGAUUUGCUGCAAAUACAUUACUUUGUGAGACAGCUUCUCUGGCACAUUUCCUUUUUCUUUUCUUUCUUUCUUUCUUUCUUUCUUUCUUUUUUUUUUUUUUUUUUUUUUUUUUUUUUUUUUUUUGA